UAAAAUCAUGACUGGUGUGACUUGU
rnacentral:piRNA from 1 species